UAGAGUGUAUUUGACAGCAAGUA
rnacentral:siRNA from 1 species